AAAACAAGCAGACACGCAGCAUCGGGUCUUCUUUUGUUUUGGGGGAUUAGGGUUCAUCUUGGGGGAUCAAUUCAAUUACCGCACAAAUCAUAUCUGAAGGUGAGAUUUAUGUGUUUUUGAUUGAAUAUAUGUAUAAGACCUAUGUGUGUAUAUGCUUGGGGUUGCUGUGGUUCUUGGUGGCGGUGGGUCGGAAUUGUUGCAGCUGGUGGCCUUAAGGCAGCGGUGACGCCGCGUACUGGAACGGAGGGAUAAGGAAGGGGGCUGUGUUUGGGCGGCUCGGUGGUGGCCUGCGAUGUGGUAGCACCGUGUUUGGCCGAAGGAAACCGCAGCAGCAACUACGAGAAGAGAGAGAGGGAUAGAGAGAGAAAUAUGGCCGGGAGAGAGAUGAUGGAGGCUAGUAGUGGUGGAGCUAUUUUGUGGUGGCUGAAGUCGACCGAGAGGUUUAGGAGUAGUUGAAUAGUGUUGCAGUGCGAGGCUUACAUACACCCAUAAAGUGAAGCUGUGCUAUAGAUAUUCUACUAAAAUCUGUCAGAAACUAAGCAGAAGGGAACAAUUGUCAGUAGAUAGUAUUAAUAGAAAUCCGAGAAGCAGGAUUUAAGCUAAGGAUUAGUAUGGUCACUUGGAUAAGCUGCGCGUAAGAGUAAUGCUAGGCGAGACUGCCAGGGAGGUGGCUGCGAGACUAGUUAUGGCCAGAGUUGAAUUAUUUCAAUUCAGUUGUAGAUAGUUUUUAUUUAUUGGUUAUCAGUUAUCCUUCUUACCGAAGUUUAGCUGAUAACGUAGUUUGAGUUGUAAUAAAAUUUUAUAGUUUUGGUUUCUGAUUUCAGUGCUGUAACCUAUUAGCGAUCCUGUUUUAGGGGGUCAAAGUGAUUUUGAUUUAAAUCUCUUUUAAAAUGUACAGAUUUUUAGAUAUCUGUUUUACC